AUAUUACUAGCACGACAUCAACAGAAGAAUGGGGGAGAGUGGGGUGAUUGGUGCCAGCGGGGAAGUUGUGCCACCCCCUAUUUCUAGGAAACAAGAAAAUGGUCAUGUGACCACACAUUUUUGAAGACUCAGCCAUUUCAAUCAUCCUGCAGAGAAGAGAGCCUCAUUGCAUGAGAGGAUGUGAUUGGUUUGGAGCCUUUAAAGCACGCCGUCAUUUGUCAUGCCACACUCCUGAAGCAACCUCUGUUGGUAGAGCUACUGCCAUUAAUAGGCACAACAUGGGGGAGUUAUUUGGUAACCUAAAGUGAUGGACAGGUAGGACUUCCCUCCACACAAGAUCUACAACAUGGAUGAAACUGGUGUGACAACCGAAAAUGACCUUUGAUGUGCUCAUGUGGCGCAAUAGGCUUGUAGAAAAUUGGCCUUUGAUGUUGUAA